AAACCUCCCAACAUGCUUGAACACUAAAACUGGAACAAUAUGGAGAAGAUUAGCAUGGCCCCUAUGCAAGGGCGACAUGCAAAACCUUCCAACCAAACUACGUAUAA